AGGCGGCACGGUGAUGCCUUGGCCUGGAAGCCGAUGAGGACGCGACUAACCCGAAGUCUUCGGGGAGCCGUAGUAGGCUUUGAUCCGGAGGUCUCCGAAUGGGGAACCCAU
rnacentral:rRNA from 1 species